ensembl:snRNA U6 U6 spliceosomal RNA
GUGCUCGCUUCAGCAGCACAUCCACUCAAAUUGGAACAAUACAGAGAUUAGCAUGACCCCUGCACCAGGAUGACAUGCAAAUUCAUGAAGUGUUCCAUAAAAAG